AGAGCGAACGCUGGCGGCAGGCCUAACACAUGCAAGUCGAGCGCCCGUAGCAAUACGGGAGCGGCAGACGGGAUAGUAACACGUGGGAACGCGCCCUUCGGUUCGGAAUAACUCAGGGAAACUUGAGCUAAUACCGGAUACGCCCUUACGGGGAAAGAUUUAUUGCCGAAAGAACGGCCCGCGUCCGAUUAGCUAGUUGGUGAGGUAAUGGCUCACCAAGGCGACGAUCGGUAGCUGGUCUGAGAGGAUGACCAGCAUCACUGGGACUGAGACACGGCCCAGACUCCUACGGGAGGCAGCAGUGGGGAAUAUGGACAAUGGGCGCAAGCCUGAUCCAGCCAUGCCGCGUGGAUGAUGAAGGCCUUAGGGUUGUAAAGUCCUUUUAACGGGGAAGAUAAUGACGGUACCCGUAGAAUAAGCCCCGGCUAACUUCGUGCCAGCAGCCGC
rnacentral:rRNA from 1 species